UUCAGAUGAAUAUUGUAUUUAUUUCCUGUUUCAGAUGUCAUUGUGCCCCAACAGACGGACUUAUGCACUACGCUGGGCAACAAGUGGAAAUGGAUCAGGAUGAACAGCACCACAUUGAGAACAGCGCUGAGAACCCCCAGGACUAGAACCACGGUUCCACACACCCCACUGCAGAACCGUCCCGCAGGAAGAGAACCUGCUAAUGCAAGUGCAGACAGAUUACAGGUUACCUGAGUGGAGUCCAUCUUUGUGUUUGGUCAGAACCAGAACUAGAACCACGAGGAUCAAAGCAGCGCUGAGGACCCCCAGAGCCAACACCACAGAUGUACACACACCACUGAGGGAGCAGCCUGUAAGAUACACACACACACACACACACACACA